rnacentral:ncRNA from 1 species
UAUUUUUUAAACUUUCAUCAACAUUUCCUUUACCACAUAAGUGGACAAUCUGAUACUUUUUCGUUAGAUCCGGUAAUGAUUCUCUAACCGUUUCAUUGAUUUUCUUUGCGCCUAAGCUACCACCCAUAAUUGUUAAUAUUGGUAUAUAGCUUUUAAAAUGAAGAUAGUC